GGUGUAUACAAGGGAGUGGGCAUGUUCAGUGCACGUUCAUCUUUUGUUGGCCUCCCAUGCCUGUUUGACGGGCGGGAAGUUGGGCAGGUUGGGCCGGGCUGCCAGGAUGUACAGGGCCUGGUCACGGAGGAAAUCCAUCCACGUCACGGUCCUGGGGAGGUACAGAAAAGAUUUUGUGUCUGCGGCCAUCAACAUCCGGGCAUUUGUGUCGACAUGGAGAUCCAGAGAAGCGGUCUUCUUUUGUUCAGGCCUGAGUGAAGAAAUAUGACAAGACGUGAACUUAACGUUCAAAAUGUCAUCAAAGAUAGAUGGUAAUAAAUGAUGCUCCCAAUCAUCUUUUACGACAAAUACCUAAUGGUGUUGUCACAACGGCGGUUACAAUAAUCAAAUUCUGAAGAUUGAUAGAUUAAUUAAUAAAAGACAGACUUUUGAACCUCAUUGGUUAGAUACAUGAUGACGAAACCAGGAUCCGCUUCCUAUUAUGUAAGAUUUAGUCCCAAAAUGGAAAAUAUUUUCAAGAACAAAACCAUCAUAUGAAUGGCAUGUACAACCUUUGUUCAACAUAUGUGCAUCACCAUUUCGUAUUUCUGAUGUUUAGCUGGUUAUUUCGCAAGAUUGGUUUAUUCAGUAGUACAUAAAAUAUACAAUGCCUCACAGUCUACCAUUGUUGUAUGUAUUGCGCUUGUGUUUACAAAAAUAGUAUAGUUGCAUUAUCAAAAUUCUGUGGAAAACAACAAGAUGUUCGCGUUACAUAAUUGGUUAAAACUUACAGACGUACAGAAUAAAAUUUUGA